rnacentral:piRNA from 1 species
UAGAAAACUCACAGUCUUGGGAAA